UUUGAGCAGCAAUCCGGUAGUCACCGUCACCGCGUCCGGGCCAGAGCUCUGAGAAAAUCUGGACCCUACUUCCUAGACUUCUGAAGCUUUUUCAGCCCUGGGCUACAUUUCCCUGAAGGCAUCACUUCAAGACUCAAGCUCUGGUAACCUCUUUGGGAUUUUCUAGAACCUCUGGGGAGUCACUUAAAUAAAACGAAAUACCUCCGCUCACACCGUAGCAGCGUGAGAUCCCGGUUUCCAGCAAGGGAGCCCCGAGGCGCGCCCGAUUCCGGACCACAGGACGUGGCCACUGCCUCUGGAUUCUGCUGAAUUGGGCCGGGUUCGUGCUUAAGACUACAUUUCCCGGAGGCCACCACGUCCCUGCGCCAUUUCUUACACUUACUCCGUUACUCCUUGGUUUAAGGAUCCAGUCUGUAGCAGUAGCCCUGCUGUCCUCUUAGGACUCUGCACAUCUCCAGGGGAGGAACCCAGAAAGUUGAUCAGUUCUGACAGUUCUCAAAACCAUGCCUCACGCACUCCCACUCCUCUUGAGAGAAGUCUACAGCUAUAUCCCUGAACAUCAUCAACUGCUGAAAUGAUAAACCCAAACAUCAAUGGUGAAGUCAAAAGAAAUCUUUCAGAUGGAUGGGGAAAAGAAGGAAAAGGGC